rfam:Oryza sativa (indica cultivar-group) chromosome 5, whole genome shotgun sequence.
AAAAACUCAAUUUCUGAGUUUCCGUGUCUAACGUUUGAUCGUCCGUCUUAUUUUAAAAAAAUAUUAAAAAAUUUAAAAAGAUAAGCCAUGCAUAAAAUAUUAUUCAUCUUUUAUCAUCUAGCAAUAAUGAAAAUACUAAUCAUAAAAAAAUUUCAUAUAAGACGGACGAUCAAACGUUGGAGACGGAAACCCAAGAAUUGAGUCUUU